rnacentral:rRNA from 1 species
UACGGAGGGUGCGAGCGUUGUCCGGAAUCACUGGGCGUAAAGGGCGCGUAGGCGGCCUGAUAAGUAGGGGGUGAAAUCCUGCGGCUUAACCGCAGGGCUGCCUUCUAAACUGUCAGGCUCGAGCACAGUAGAGGCAGGUGGAAUUCCCGGUGUAGCGGUGGAAUGCGUAGAGAUCCGGAAGAACACCGGUGGCGAAGGCGGCCUGCUGGGCAGUUUGGCUGACACUGAGGCGCGACAGCGUGGGGAGCAAACAGG